rnacentral:ncRNA from 1 species
AUAAUAUGAAUAUUUGCUCUCAUAUAAAUCUGAUAAUAAGGUUCAGAUGUUUCUACCGAAUAACCGUAAAUUAUUUUCGACUAUGGGGGAUUCUCUAAA